rnacentral:lncRNA from 1 species
AUGGCAGCUGAGACGAGUGGGUCUCGAAUGAUGGAUGUGGCCCCCUGGAGCCAGCCCUCUAGGUCCUGCCUGUUUCUUGCCUGCCUCACCCAGUGGCAUCACGAUGAUGGUAAAACCAGCCAGGGCUGAGCCAGUAAGGGUGCGGGUGAUGGCGAACAUUACAUAGCUGACGGAGGCUGCAGAUGCCAGGCCCAGCACCAGGGUACUCACGUAGGCUACCAGCAGCAGACGCCGCCGCCCAAACCUGCAAAGGGGUCAUGCAGGGUCAGUUCCCUGUGGAAGGAGGUUCUAAGGCAUAGGUAGACUAGGCUCAUACCCCAGCUAGUGGGAGAAAGUUCCCCCAGCCAGUUUCUUAUUGGCCCAGUGCCUCACCCCACCUGUCGGACAGAUAUCCAAAGGCCACAGCCCCCACCAGCACACCGGCGAAGAAGAAAGUGGACGCAGCUCUGUUCAGACCUUUCUGCUCACACACCAGAUCCCACUGCAAGGACAGGCAGAAAGGGACCUCCCAUGAACAUCAGCCCCUCUCCAGCAGGCACCAGCUCCUCCUCUCCAGACCCUGGAGCCUUCUGAGGCGAACUCUGCCAUUCUGGUACCUCCAUGCCAGAUAAUAAACCUCCCAACGAUUCACGCCAGCUUGGGGAAUAGGAAACUUUGUCCCUCCCCAGUCCUGCAGCCUCAGCUUCUUCCCAAGGAAGGCCUCGACCUGCUGCCUCCCAGGGAGACUGCCUCCACCGACAUUCCACCUCCAGAUGGAUUAUGUAAAUACCGACCUGGGACUGGAAAAGAGGAAGGGAGAAAAGAAGGCCUCUAUUGUUUCUCCACCUCUUGCUGCAGAAAUUGCCUUCUCAGCUCUUUGUCUCAACUCCCUGAAGCCACUUUAGCCCUUCCCUGCCUUAAUCACCUCCCAAUUAAUGAUGAUGAUAACAGUUCUUGUGUAGGAUCCUGUUACUACAAGCCAUGAACUAAAAGUGCCUUAUA